CCUACGGGCGGCAGCAGUGGGGAAUCUUGCACAAUGGGGGAAACCCUGAUGCAGCGACGCCGCGUGAGUGACGAAGUCAUUCGUUAUGUAAAGCUCUAUCAGCAGGGAAGAAAAUGCCGGUACCUGAGUGAGAAGCCCCGGCUAACGACGUGCCAGCAGCCGCGGUAAUACGGAGGGGGCAUGCGUUAUCCUGAUUUACGGGGGGUAAAGGUGGCGUAGACGGCGGUGCAAGUCUGGAGUGAAAGGCGGGGGCUCAACACCCGUACUGCUCUGGAAACUGUACGGCUGGAGUGCAGGAGAGGUAAGCAGAAUUCCUAGUGUAGCGGUGAAAUGCGUAGAUAUUAGGAGGAACACCAGUGGCGAAGGCGGCUUACUGGAUGGUAACUGACGUUGAGGUUCGAAAGCGUGGGGAGCAAACAGGAUUAGAUACCCUUGUAGUC
rnacentral:rRNA from 1 species